GGCAUACAGGAGGCAAGUCCAUAAGUGCUUCCUGAUGAAGUAAGAUAACUCUUAAGGUUUUUAGUCUGAGUAAAAUGCUCAGGAUUAAAAAUCCUGGAGGAACAGGAUUGCCAUUUAAUAAGGUGGCCAUGAAUUGAGGAAAAGACAAGGAGCUUGGUCUUGAAAGCUCUUGGUCUGGGAUGUCUGUGAAGACGCUAGUAGGCAGCUCAGGACAGGAAUCCAGAGUUCUGGGAAGAGUCACAGGCAGACAGUACUUAAGGCCAUGAGAUGUGAGUGUAAGAGUUAAAUAAAGAGGAAAGAAACAUGAAAAGCCACUCAACAAAUAUAGGUUUAUUUUGGAGAGUAAACCUGAGAGGGGCUUCUGGCCGAGUUAGGUCAGAGGCCCUCUCUCUUACAGACUAAGAGUAUUUAAGGGUUCAGGGUGGGAGAGCUUAUCACAGGCUCAGAAUGUUUCUGUGUCUCUGUCUUGUCUGGGAGGGAGAGUUUUUGCGUCUGUUCCCACACAUCUUCCUGCAGCUGCAGGUAUACCACCUGUCUGCUUUUAGCUUCCCUGUCUCAGUGUGCCUAAAGGGAAAGGAAUGUGCUUAUUAGGGCCCACUGUUUUACUGGGGCCCAUUGUAUGAGGGUAAAGUUUGGUGAUUACCCUAGAGACUUUCCCUUCUCCCUCUGUGCCCAAGCUGUCUUAUCUGUGUUUCAUUGUCUGCUCUUCCUGGCUGCUUGUUGUUAGAAGAGAAGUGAUUUCUUUGAAAUGCAUGAGGUUAGAAAGGGGGCUGGAACUUAAAAAGUGGAGUUGUUUGUCCAAGAUGACGGUGCUCCUGCUCUGUCAUUGAGGAGAUGGCCUAGGGACAGAGCAAGGCCAGAGAGGCAGGGUCUGUGCUCUUAAAGUUGGGGCACCCCAACUUUACAACGUGUGUUGGGGUAGGGGAAGGAGUCCAAGUCAGAGCCACCCAUGCAUGAAGGGGAAACCUAGCAGGAGUGGUCCUCUUGGUUCUUGUUUCAAGGAGAAAAAUGGAAUUCACUUGCUGCUGAAGUGUCAUAUACUGCCUGAGAGUCAUUAGGAUGGGGACUGAGAAUUCUCACUGGGUUUAGCAGUGGGCAGGUCGUGGGAUACCUGGGCAAAAAGUGUUUCGGUGGAGUAAUGGGACAAGCGUCUGACGAACAAGGUUCAGGAGAAAAAAAUAAAUCAAUCUAAGAGGUCCAAUAUUUUGACUAAAAAGUAUUCCAAAGACAUUCAUUUGACAAUUUGUUACUGGGCAUUUAGUGUCAGGCACUGUUUUGGGCACUGAGGAUAAAGCAGUGAACAAAAGAGACACAAAGAGUUUAUAUCCUGGCCAGGCUUGGUGGCUCAUGCCUGUAAUGCUAGCACUUUGGGAGGCCUAGGCGGGAGGAUUACUUGAGCUCAGGAGUUUGAGACUAGCCUGGGCAACGUAGUGAGACUCCAUCUCUAUUAAAAAAAAAAAAAAAAA
rnacentral:lncRNA from 1 species